rnacentral:rRNA from 1 species
UACAGAGGUCUCAAGCGUUGUUCGGAUUCAUUGGGCGUAAAGGGUGCGUAGGCGGCGCGGUAAGUCGGGUGUGAAAUCUUGGAGCUUAACUCCGAAACUGCAUUCGAUACUGCCGUGCUUGAGGACUGGAGAGGAGACUGGAAUUUACGGUGUAGCGGUGAAAUGCGUAGAUAUCGGAAGGAAGACCAGUGGCGAAGGCGGGGCUCUGGACAGUUCCUGACGCUGAGGCACGAAGGCCAGGGGAGCAAACGGG